GUGCCAGCAGCCGCGGUAAUACGGGGUGGGCGAGCGUUGCCCGGAAUUACUGGGUUUAAAGGGGGCGUAGGCGGUCUGGAUAGUCGGGUGUGUAAUGCAAUCGCUCAACGAUUGAGCUGCAUCUGAUACUUCCAGGCUAGUGGGCGGUAGAGGAGAGCGGAACUCCCGGUGUAGCGGUGAAAUGCGUAGAUAUCGGGAGGAACGCCGGUGGCGAAGGCGGCUCUCUGGGCCGUUCCUGACGCUGAGGCCCGAAAGCUGGGGGAGCGAAAGGGAUUAGAUACCCCUGUAGUCCCAGCCGUAAACGAUGGGCACUAGGUGUACCUUUUAACGGAGGUAUACCGUCGGGAAACCAAUAAGUGCCCCACCUGGGGAGUACGCCCGCAAGGGUGAAACUCAAAGGAAUUGACGGGGGCCCGCACAAGCGGUGGAGCGCGUGGUUUAAUUCGACGCUAAGCGAAGAACCUUACCUGGGCUUGACAUGCUGGUAGUACCUUAGUGGAAACGCUGAGGGAUCUACCGUGAGGUAGAAGCCAGCACAGGUGCUGCACGGCUGUCGUCAGCUCGUGCCGUGAGGUGUUGGGUUAAGUCCCGCAACGAGCGCAACCCCUGUCCUUAGUUGCGGCAGCACCCAUGCGGUGGCUGAGCACUCUAAGGAGACUGCCGCCGAUGAGGCGGAGGAAGGUGGGGAUGACGUCAAGUCCGUGUGGCCUUUAUGUCCAGGGCUACACACGCGCUACAAUGGGUGGUACAACAGGCAUAGCGACCCUGUAAAGGGGAGCGAAUCCAUAAAACCAUCCUCAGUUCGGAUUGGGGUCUGCAACCCGACCCCAUGAAGACGGAAUCGCUAGUAAUCACCUAUCAGCAUGGGGUGGUGAAUACGUUCCCGGGCCUUGCACACACCGCCCGU
rnacentral:rRNA from 1 species